rnacentral:rRNA from 1 species
GAGGGAUCAUUACACAAAUAUGAAGGCGGGCUGGAACCUCUCGGGGUUACAGCCUUGCUGAAUUAUUCACCCUUGUCUUUUGCGUACUUCUUGUUUCCUUGGUGGGUUCGCCCACCACUAGGACAAACAUAAACCUUUUGUAAUUGCAAUCAGCGUCAGUAACAAAUUAAUAAUUACAACUUUCAACAACGGAUCUCUUGGUUCUGGCAUCGAUGAAGAACGCAGCGAAAUGCGAUAAGUAGUGUGAAUUGCAGAAUUCAGUGAAUCAUCGAAUCUUUGAACGCACAUUGCGCCCUUUGGUAUUCCAAAGGGCAUGCCUGUUCGAGCGUCAUUUGUACCCUCAAGCUUUGCUUGGUGUUGGGCGUCUUGUCUCUAGCUUUGCUGGAGACUCGCCUUAAAGUAAUUGGCAGCCGGCCUACUGGUUUCGGAGCGCAGCACAAGUCGCACUCUCUAUCAGCAAAGGUCUAGCAUCCAUUAAGCCUUUUUUUCAACUUUUGACCUCGGA